AGUGAACGCUGGCGGUAGGCCUAACACAUGCAAGUCGAACGGCAGCACAGUAAGAGCUUGCUCUUACGGGUGGCGAGUGGCGGACGGGUGAGGAAUACAUCGGAAUCUACUUUUUCGUGGGGGAUAACGUAGGGAAACUUACGCUAAUACCGCAUACGACCUACGGGUGAAAGCAGGGGAUCUUCGGACCUUGCGCGAUUGAAUGAGCCGAUGUCGGAUUAGCUAGUUGGCGGGGUAAAGGCCCACCAAGGCGACGAUCCGUAGCUGGUCUGAGAGGAUGAUCAGCCACACUGGAACUGAGACACGGUCCAGACUCCUACGGGGGGCAGCAGUGUGGAAUAUUGGACAAUGGGCGCAAGCCUGAUCCAGCCAUACUGCGUGGGUGAAGAAGGCCUUCGGGUUGUAAAGCCCUUUUGUUGGGAAAGAAAAGCAGCAGGUUAAUACCCCGCUGUUCUGACGGUACCCAAAGAAUAAGCACCGGCUAACUUCGUG
rnacentral:rRNA from 1 species